GCUCCGGUGUAGCUCAGUCGGUAGAGCAGCGGCCUUUUAAGCCGUUGGCCGAAGGUUCGAAUCCUUCUGGGCUCACCA
rnacentral:tRNA from 1 species